rnacentral:rRNA from 1 species
UACAGAGGUCUCGAGCGUUAGGCAGAAUCACUGGGCUUAAAGCGUGUGUAGGCGGAUGCCUAAGUACCUUGUGAAAUCCCACAGCUUAACUGUGGAACUGCUUGGUAUACUGGGUGUCUUGAGCCACUCAGGGGCGAGCGGAACAAAUGGUGGAGCGGUGAAAUGCGUAGAUAUCAUUUGGAACGCCAAUGGUGAAAACAGCUCGCUGGGGGUGUGCUGACGCUGAGACACGAAAGCCAGGGGAGCGAACGGG